CUACGGGUCGCUCCAGUGGGGAAUAUUGCACAAUGGGGGAAACCCUGAUGCAGCAACGCCGCGUGGAGGAUGACACAUUUCGGUGCGUAAACUCCUUUUAUAGGUCAAGAUAAUGACGGUAGCCUAUGAAUAAGCGCCGGCUAACUCCGUGCCAGCAGCCGCGGUAAUACGGAGGGCGCAAGCGUUACUCGGAAUCACUAGGCGUAAAGAGCAUGUAGGCGGGUUAAUAAGUCAGAAGUGAAAUCCAAUAGCUCAACUAUUGAACUGCUUUUGAAACUGUUAACCUAGAGUGUGGGAGAGGUAGAUGGAAUUUCUGGUGUAGGGGUAAAAUCCGUAGAGAUCAGAAGGAAUACCGAUUGCGAAGGCGAUCUACUGGAACAUUACUGACGCUGAGAUGCGAAAGCGUGGGGAGCAAACAGGAUUAGAUACCCCCGUAGUC
rnacentral:rRNA from 1 species